AUUUUAUAGGGUCAUCGGCCAUCUGUGGUUUUUGUAUCCACAAGAGACUGAUGAAUUGAAUGGGAGCCAGGAUGUAAUCCUAUGGGGAUACUAAGGAAUGAGUUCUGUUACUUCAUUAGAUAGAAGAUUAUAGGAUGUUUUAAACUUUACAUCAAGGAACAAGAGAUGACUCAGUGAUCAAGAGUGCCCCAACUCUGACUCCAGGAGCUUCUGUGUCCUCUUCAGGCUUCUGUAUGAAAGCAAGCAUCAUCAGCUGAGUGACAACCUUCUUAAAAAUACCUGGGCUGCCCAGCAAAUGAAAACAUGAGUUUAAUCCUGCUAGGAAGGAAAGCAUCCACUCCCCUGGGAAGACUAUGAUCUACUUCAGUCAUACUCCCAGAUGCUAGCAAGAGUGACGUGGCUCUAUCAAUGUUUAACACCCACCCUGGUUAGAACCUAGUCAGCCCUGAACCAGCACUGCCUUUUCAUCCACAUCCAUUUCUUUUGCCACCUCCUUCCACUAAGAUGCUGUUUCUUUCUAUUUACCACCCCACAGGCAUCCAGACAAGGCUCUUGCACCCUUGUGCUCUAUAUAUUGGAGUAGCCACUAGCUAUGUUUGUGUGUGUGUGUGUGUGUGUGUGUGUAUUCUCUUAAAAUGAUUGAAAAAUUUAGAACUCAUAUUCUCCAUUGCUUUAUAAAGUAAGUGUACCCAAUGGUCCUUCAAUGCCUGGUGGCUUCAGUUUGUGUAAAACAAUUUUUCUAGCAUGUGAAUUUUUAUCUUAUAGCUGUAUCAGAGCACAUUUCCAUUCUGUUUCUCCUGGUGUGUGUGGAUAUCCAACAGGCCUAGUGUUUUCAUAGAUGUGUCCUUAAGGACAAGCUUGGUUCUUUAUCAUGGUGAGGCAGUAAAGGAACAAAUGCAUGUAAUAAUAAAGCCAUCUUAUAACUGAAUAAAGGAAUGACUACUACAA